rnacentral:tRNA from 2 species
GGGGAAAUAGCUCAAUUGGUUAGAGUGCUGGUCUGUCACGCCAGAAGUCGCGGGUUCGAACCCCGUUUUCCCCG